UGUCAGUGUGGACAUACCACGUGGUUUGUGACGUCAUUUUCGCUAGCACGCUAAGUAGAAAUUUGUCAACAUUGGUCCCGCUUAGAAAUUUCAAAUCCACGCACUUCUUCUAUACAACCUCGAAAAAGAAUGUGUACAAACUCGUUGGUCAAUAUAACGUCGAUGGCAAAGGUGAAGAUGAACCAAACAUCAAGAGCUCUUCCGAUAUUCGUGACCACGAGUUUGACAACCCGGGGAGACUGCGUGUGAAACCGAAGGCAAAAGAGGCCAAAAUCGACCAGAGUUGAAAUGCCGUUGCCAUGGGAACUUUAGGUGUACGGUGGGACGGUGCGAGGAGAAACGAAAGCAAGUUAUUGCCUACGUACAGACUUGGACUAGACAUGGAAGAAAUUUGAUAAGAAACCGCCUUUCUGAAGAAUUAUGUGUUUUAGUAGCUUGACUUGAGCGAGAUAUAUAUAAUUAUUCAUAUGCAUAGUGUGUUAUUUUUAUUAUUUAAGUUAAUUGUGUCGUGUUCUGAGAAAACUGGGCAUAAUGCUUGUGCGCAAAUUUGUCAUCCCAGAUUAGCCUGUGCAGUGCGCACAGCCUAAUCAGGGACGACAUUUUCCGCUUUUAUGGAAUUUUUCGUUUAAAUAAUGUCUCUUCUUAGCGAAAAUCUGGUUU